UAGGGAAUCUUGCGCAAUGGGCGAAAGCCUGACGCAGCGACGCCGCGUGAGCGAUGAAGGCCUUCGGGUUGUAAAGCUCUGUGGGGAGAGAAGAAUAAGUGUUGGCUAACACCCAGCAUGAUGACGGUAUCUCCUUAGCAAGCACCGGCUAACUCUGUGCCAGCAGCCGCGGUAAGACAGAGGGUGCAAACGUUGUUCGGAAUUACUGGGCGUAAAGCGCGUGUAGGCGGCUACGUGUGUCGGGCGUGAAAGCCCACGGCUCAACCGUGGAAGUGCACCCGAAACUGCAUAGCUAGAGUCCUGGAGAGGAAGGUGGAAUGCUUGGUGUAGAGGUGAAAUUCGUAGAUAUCAAGCGGAACACCGGUGGCGAAGGCGGCCUUCUGGACAGUGACUGACGCUG
rnacentral:rRNA from 1 species